rnacentral:rRNA from 1 species
CAGCCGCCGCGGUAAUACGUAGGGGGCGAGCGUUGUCCGGAAUCAUUGGGCGUAAAGCGCGCGCAGGCGGUCCCUUAAGUCUGAUGUGAAAUCUUGCGGCUCAACCGCAAGAGGUCAUUGGAAACUGGGGGACUUGAGUGCAGGAGAGGGAAGCGGAAUUCCAUGUGUAGCGGUGAAAUGCGUAGAGAUAUGGAGGAACACCAGUGGCGAAGGCGGCUUCCUGGCCUGUAACUGACGCUCAGGCGCGAAAGCGUGGGGAGCAAACAGGAUUAGAUACCCUGGUAGUCCACGCCGUAAACGAUGAGUGCUAGGUGUUGGAGGGGUUUCCCCUUCAGUGCUGGAGCUAACGCAUUAAGCACUCCGCCUGGGGAGUACGGCCGCAAGGCUGAAGCUUAAAGGAAUUGGCGGG